AGGUUCAGGCUCCCUCCAGCACGUGGACCAGGUGUCCCUGGGCGGUGUGGGACGGCUGCCACACGCACCCUGCAAGGUUUGUCACAAGACCUGACUGUGAUCUUUUGAUGUCACUCUGCAGUAGGCUGGCAGUAAGUGCCCUGGGAGUGCUCUCAGAGGGUGAACCAUGCCCUGGGGCGUGCUUUUGUCAUCUUGGAAAUGACGACUGAGGCAAGGGGUGGGUGUGUGUGGGAAAAAGGACAGUCAUUGCCACCCAGGUGUCCCACUCCCUCAUGUGAUGAAAGGUGUGAGCUCCGAGGCCUUUGCCCCCUCUCCAUUGGCCAUCCCAUGGAGCGAUCCCAGGCUGAGGGCAGAAGGGAGCAGUGGGCAUCAGGAGUGGUCCCCAAACGUGGCUGUGGGACAGACACACAUUGGCUGAUGCCCUGACAUGUCCCCCACCAGCUUCUAUAUAUGGGCCUGCCCUCUCUGAACCCACCGCGCUCGGCUCUCAAGUGACAUGCUGGGGAGGGAGGGGGGGUCUAUUUUUAGCCCCUGAAUGGAUCUGUGCUGGAGCCGAGCUCUCUGCCCCCAUCAAGGGUACGGCAUCAUGUUGUGCUGGGAGGAUUUUCCUGCGUGGCUCUUUGAAUGGCUCCAUCCCCACCUUAGGUCGGGGUACAGGCAUGGAUAACUUCGAGUACAGCAUCCAGCUGAACGACAGGGAAUGGGCUGAGUUCUUCUUGGCCUCAGAGGAGUGCAACCUCGCCCCGGCCUCGCUGGCCACGGCCGAGGAGCAGUGCCUCAGUGACAUUGAGCAAGGGGACAGCCACGCAGCCCGACAAGGCUGAUGUCCAGCCGGGCAGGGCAGCGAGCCAGCACCUGGCACGGGGAGCUCUGCCCCACGUGGGGUGCCCGGAGACACCCCCCUGCGCUGGCAGGCCGGUGGGCACCUCUCCCCUCCGGAGCUGCUGUCGGGCAGCGAGGACGAAGCGGAGCUGGGCUCGGUCGGCAGUCCGUGAUCGUCGAGAGUGACCAGCCCGGGCUGGCCCAUCCGGCCCCCUGGCCAUUGCCCAG
rnacentral:lncRNA from 1 species